rnacentral:rRNA from 1 species
AUAGAGUACGCUUGGUUCAGUAUCAUAACCAACCCACACAUAAAAUUUAUUUUAUGUGGUGAUGGACAAUUUCGGUAAAAUUUAAUUAUUAUACCGAUUGUCUAAAAUACAGCCUCUUUGUAAUUUUCAUUAAAUUACGAACUACCUAGCCAUCGUGCUUUUUUGGUCCAACCAAAAAACAUUUAAUCUGGGGGUUCUGCCAACCAAGCAGAUAUUUAAUGCUCUUUAACUAUGAUCUGAAGUCAAGUGGGACUACCCGCUGAACUUAAGCAUAUCAAUAAGCGGAGGAAAAGAAAAUAACAAUGAUUUCCCUAGUAACGGCGAGUGAACAGGAAAAAGCUCAAAGUUGGAACCUGUUUGGCCUAGCUAAACCGGAUUGUAAACUGUAGAAGUGUUUUCCAGGCAAGCCGGACCGAUAAGUCCUUUGGAACAGGGCAUCAUAGAGGGUGAGAAUCCCGUCUUCGGUCUGAGCAUUUGCCUUUUGCGAUACACUUUCAAAGAGUCAGGUUGUUUGGGAAUGCAGCCUAAAUUGGGUGGUAAAUCUCACCUAAAGCUAAAUAUUGGCGAGAAACCGAUAGCGAACAAGUACCGUGAGGGAAAGAUGAAAAGAACUUUGAAAAGAGAGUUAAACAGUAUGUGAAAUUGUUAAAAGGGAACCGUUUGGAGCCAGACUGGCUUGUCUGUAAUCAGUCUAAGUUUCGGCUUGGAUGCACUUGCAGGCUAUGCCUGCCAACGACAAUUUGGCUUGAGGGAAAAAACUAGGGGAAAUGUGGCCCAUUCGUGGGUGUUAUAGUCCCUUAGAAAAUACCUUGGGCUGGAUUGAGGUACGCAGCGAAUGCUAUUUGGCGAGUUGGCUGGGAAUAUUUUCUGAGGUGCUCCGGUACUGAGGUUGAUAUU